AUUCAACCCUGAGGCGUGAUGACGAUGCACUACGGUGCAGAAGUAGUUGAUGCCAAGCUUCCAGGAAAAGCCUCUAAGCAUCAGGUAACACAGAAUCGUACCCCAAACCGACACAGGUGGUCAGGUAGAGAAUACCAAGGCGCUUGAGAGAACUCGGGUGAAGGAACUAGGCAAAAUGGUGCCGUAACUUCGGGAGAAGGCACGCUGGCGCGUAGGUGAAGAGACUUGCUCUCGGAGCUGAAGCCAGUCGCAGAUACCAGCUGGCUGCAACUGUUUAAUAAAAACACAGCACUGUGCAAACACGAAAGUGGACGUAUACGGUGUGACGCCUGCCCGGUGCUGGAAGGUUAAUUGAUGGGGUCAGCCGCAAGGCGAAGCUCUUGAUCGAAGCCCCAGUAAACGGCGGCCGUAACUAUAACGGUCCUAAGGUAGCGAAAUUCCUUGUCGGGUAAGUUCCGACCUGCACGAAUGGCGUAAUGAUGGCCAGGCUGUCUCCACCCGAGACUCAGUGAAAUUGAACUCGCUGUGAAGAUGCAGUGUACCCGCGGCAAGACGGAAAGACCCCGUGAACCUUUACUAUAGCUUGACACUGAACAUUGAGCCUUGAUGUGUAGGAUAGGUGGGAGGCUUUGAAGCGUGGACGCCAGUCUGCGUGGAGCCAACCUUGAAAUACCACCCUUUAAUGUUUGAUGUUCUAACUCGGCCCCGUGAUCCGGGGUGAGGACAGUGUCUGGUGGGUAGUUUGACUGGGGCGGUCUCCUCCCAAAGAGUAACGGAGGAGCACGAAGGUUAGCUAAUCACGGUCGGACAUCGUGAGGUUAGUGCAAAGGCAUAAGCUAGCUUGACUGCGAGAGUGACGGCUCGAGCAGGUACGAAAGUAGGUCUUAGUGAUCCGGUGGUUCUGAAUGGAAGGGCCAUCGCUCAACGGAUAAAAGGUACUCCGGGGAUAACAGGCUGAUACCGCCCAAGAGUUCAUAUCGACGGCGGUGUUUGGCACCUCGAUGUCGGCUCAUCACAUCCUGGGGCUGAAGUAGGUCCCAAGGGUAUGGCUGUUCGCCAUUUAAAGUGGUACGCGAGCUGGGUUUAGAACGUCGUGAGACAGUUCGGUCCCUAUCUGCCGUGGGCGUUGGAAGAUUGAGAGGGGUUGCUCCUAGUACGAGAGGACCGGAGUGAACGCACCACUGGUGUUCGGGUUGUCAUGCCAAUGGCACUGCCCGGUAGCUAAGUGCGGAAAAGAUAAGCGCUGAAAGCAUCUAAGCGCGAAACUUGCCUCGAGAUGAGUCUUCCCUGGGAACUUGAUUCCCCUGAAGGAACGUUUAAGACUAAGACGUUGAUAGGCUGGGUGUGUAAGUGCAGCGAUGCAUUGAGCUAACCAGUACUAAUGAUCCGUGAGACUUAACCUU
rnacentral:rRNA from 1 species